UGACGAGUUUGAUCCUGGCUCAGAUUGAACGCUGGCGGAAUGCUUUACACAUGCAAGUCGAACGGUAGAGGGGGCAACCCCUCGAGAGUGGCGAACGGGUGAGUAAUAUAUCGGAACGUGCCCAGUCGUGGGGGAUAACGGAGCGAAAGCUGCGCUAAUACCGCAUACGAUCUAUGGAUGAAAGCGGGGGAUCGCAAGACCUCGCGCGAUUGGAGCGGCCGAUAUCAGAUUAGGUAGUUGGUGAGGUAAUGGCUCACCAA
rnacentral:rRNA from 1 species